UACAGAGGUCUCAAGCGUUGUUCGGAUUCAUUGGGCGUAAAGGGUGCGUAGGUGGCAUGGUAAGUCGGAUGUGAAAUCCCGGGGCUCAACCCCGGAACUGCAUUCGAUACUGCUGCGCUAGAGUACUGGAGAGGAGAUUGGAAUUUACGGUGUAGCAGUGAAAUGCGUAGAUAUCGUAAGGAAGACCAGUGGCGAAGGCGGAUCUCUGGACAGUUACUGACACUGAGACGCGAAAGCGUGGGGAGCGAACAGG
rnacentral:rRNA from 1 species